UACAGGGGGGGCAAGCGUUGUUCGGAAUUACUGGGCGUAAAGGGCCAGUAGGCGGCCAACUAAGUCACACGUGAAAUCCCCAGGCUUAACCUGGGAACUGCGUGUAAUACUGGAUGGCUUGAAUUCGGGAGAGGGAUGCAGAAUUCCAGGUGUAGCGGUGAAAUGCGUAGAUAUCUGGAGGAAUACCGGUGGCGAAGGCGGCAUCCUGGACCGACAUUGACGCUGAACGGCGAAAGCUAGGGGAGCAAACGGG
rnacentral:rRNA from 1 species